CGCCGGGGGCGGGCGAGGGCGGGCCUGACGGGAGCGCCGCGGGCGUCCGCGUCCUUCCGCGCCCCGCGCGCGCCUUCCGCCUGGCGUUCCGCGUCCGCCCGCGCCCUUCGAGCGCCUGCUCCGCGCCGGCCCCGCGGCUUCCCCGGCUCGGGGCGCCGUUCCACUGCGGGCCGCUCUGAGGCUGCGGAGGGAGCGGGAGGCGACUCGCCGCGGUCGUUCGCCUCUUUCGGCCCGCGCGGCGCCGCCGCACGACCCUCGGGGGCCGGUCCUCAGGCCGGGGACGCUCGGCGCGCGGCGUCUCCGUCGGGGCUUCCGCCGCGCCCGCGCUCGGCGGCCUGCGCGGAGGUGCGCGGGGUGCGGGGUUUGCAGAGCUGACCUUGAUCGCCCACCUGUGCCCCAGCCGCCGCCCGGGCUGCGCUGCAGGGACCGCCCGGGAGUGAGCGGGGGACGGGCCUCCCGGUCGGUCCUGCGCUAGCGGAGGAGGAUGCUGCCCUGGUCGCCAGCUUCACGUGGCUUCUGCUUGUCAUUGCGUGGCCACAGACCGCCUGCAGCCCCAAUCGGCUCCUAUCAGACAUCACCGUCCGGAGAGGCCACAGCUACCAGCCAUGACAGAGUCCUGCGAGUCUGUCUCACGGGCGCCCCUGUGGUCUGUCCUCACCUGCCCUCUUGCCGUGCUCCUGGCCGAUGGUUGUAGGCGCUGCACCAACGUCCUCGGGUUUGCGCCCUCCCUCCCCGGGCCAGUCCAGAUACUUGUGACGUUCUUUUGCAUCCUGGGACCCGCGCAGGACCACGCAGGGGGCAAGGAGCCGGGCCUCACCCCAGCAGCACCUCCUAGGACUGCCGGUCACAUCACACGAUGGGGUGCUCUCUGCCCCGCGCUCACCACACUUUUCACCUGGUGCUGGUCCAGCUCAGCCCUGGCGUGAACUUGUCCUGAGCUUUUUCCUCCUCAAAACCUCCCAUCUUUUGCUCCACAUCAGGGUGGCUUCCCACCCCCUCGUCCCUGUACCCAGGAGGGGGCUGCACACGAUCUGAGCUUCUGCUGACUUCGUGGAAGCAGCGGACCAGACCCCACGGUUAUCGAGCCCUGGUCUGGGUGGACAGCACCCAUUCUCACCAUCGUUCUCUGGACACACUCACCAGUGCCGGUUACACAAGCUACCCAUGCCCGCGGGUGACGCAGGUGUCGAUGAAACCCAGAGUCUUCGCGAAGGAAAAGUAGCCAAAGUCAUGUGAAUAACGCAGAGUUGAAGAAUCAGCCGUUAAUUAACCUGAGUUUCAUCAGCCAUUCAAAAACCUCAGAUGAGUGCCAUUUGUGGGUUCUCCAGGGAAGCAGAAUCAACAGGAUGCGGGUGUGUGCCCGUGCACGCACAUACACAUCUAUGAAUAUUCAUAUGCAUUUACAAGGGAGAGAGAGAGAGAGAGAUAAUUGUUUUAAGGAAUUAUCGUACGCGAUAAUGGGGGCCGGCAAGUCCAGAAAGUUCAGGGUGGGCCGACAGGCUGGGGACCCAGGAAAGAGUUGCAGUUCGAGCCUCCAUUUCGUCUUUUGGCAGAAUUCCCUCUUCUUUGGGAGAAGUCAGUCUGUGUCUCUGAGGCCUUCAACUGAUUGAACGAGGCCCACCCACGUCACAGAGAGCAAUCCGCCCCACUCAGCGUCCCCUGAUUCAUUGUUAAUGCCAUCUCAAACACGCCUUCAUAGAAACAUGCCUUCAUAGAAACGUUUGACCCGAAGCGGGGUGCCAUAGCCUAGCCAAGGUGAUGAUCACAUACAAAAUUUAUAUGUGAUGAUGCAUCACAUGGAAAAUUAACUAUCGCAUAUGGCCAAUCUAGUUUCCAAUUUACUUUUAUUUAAACAAAUCAGUUUUUCUAAGCCUCCAAAUUAAAACGGUGUGAAAAUGAGAAAAAAUAAGACCUCACCAUGAGAGCUAAUGUGUGGGUUUCUCAGACUAGACGCCUGGAGAGCUAGCCACUGUGCAGGGGCUUGCUAGCCUUUGAUGUGACAGUUGUAAAUCUGUCAGAGGCACGCUUAAGUCUGCAGUCCCAUUUAUGUCAAAUCAUUGGGCACAUCCAUUAUUCAUGCCUUCUUCAUUUGUCUUUGUCGUUUUCCUUUUUUCCCGGUGAGGAUAAAAAUAGAAUGGAACUAAUGAUAACCCUGUAGUUCCUGAGCCCUGCAGUGACCCAGAAUGCCACGGUGUUAGUGACACCCAAGCACGAGACACGUCCGUCAUUGAGCAGAAUGCCCGUGGAUCUGAAGCAGAAAGUGUCCGUGCUGUUGACCCUGGGUACUGGAUCCUUCCUGCGUGUGGGGGGCUGUCCGUGUGUUUCUCAGACGCCGAACCAAAGACAUGACCAGACAUUGCCCCCCGUCCCCUGGCCGAAGGGUGGCAGGGUUGAUCUGGCUGCAAAGCAGUAGCUCAGAGCAUCGGGCAUGGGCACCAGCUCCAUGGGGGGCAGGGAGAGCCCAGGGUGACAACAGGCUGAUGCUAGGAGGCCACACAGACGGUGCACAGAGAAAAGACAAGCACCUUGGCGUAGGGUAGCGGCCGUAGCCAAUGCAGAUGGGCGCUCAGGAGCCGCGAGGCCGUCGCUCUCAUGCCAGGAGCCUACGUGCGGUCCCAGAGCCCUGCUGCGAUCCGUUCUGGGUCCAGCUCUUCUCUUCCCAUCCAGUGCCGAAGGGUGACCUGGCCGCACGGCCCCAGUUGCCCUCGUGGGUGCGAGACCUUGGUUAAGACAGACAAAAUCCGGCCACCCCCAAGGGUCCAGCACCAGGCAGGCUUCAGAUUCUGGGGGGCACUGCAUGUGCCAGCUGCACGGCCACCACGCUUUGUCUCCCACUCAGGACAGCUUGCAAAUACAGAAUCGGAGAGGCCCUAUAUGGAACCUUCCCUGUGGUGUGGAUCAGAAGACAGCACGUACCUCCCAUGUGACCAACGUGCUCCGAGUACCGGGAUCUCUCACGUGAGGAAGCUUCUCAGGGUGCCGCGUGUGUCCUACAGGACCUCAGGGCCCUCCAGGGCGUCAUUAGCGGUCCCGUGGAGGAAAAUGAUGGAGACCAGCACGUUGAGAUGCCUCCCGCGUGCCCCCUCCCACCUCACGUUAGCAGCUGGGGCAAGAAAAUGCAGAACCUCCAUUUCUGAAAGUGUGCUGAGCCGACGCUUCACCAAACGAGAGACACGGACCCCAAAUAAACACAUGAAAAGAUGCUCGACAUCGUUAGUCAUUAGGGAAAACGGACAUUAAAACGAUAACAAGAUACCGCCACAUUCCUGUUAGAACGGCUAACGUGAGAAGUACCAACGAUAUCAAAGGCCGGCAAGGGUGUGGAGCGCCUGGAAGGCUCAUCCACAGCUGGCGGGAAGCGGUGCAGCCACGUGGCAAACAGGCGGCCGUUUCUCGUGCAGUCACACGGAGGCUUUCCUCUGCGACCCAGCAGUGCCCCUCCCGGCUCUUUACCCGAGGCGGAAGAAAACCUCUAGCAGCCUUAUCACCCAAACCGGAGAUGACCCACGUGGUCAGCUGGCACUUGGAUGAAGGAGGGUCACGUCCACGCACUGGAACACCGUUCGGCAAACGAACGGUGUCUGAGCUCGAAAGCAUUACACUAAGCGGAAGAAGCCAGGGGCUGAAUGCUACCCACUGUGCGAUGCUGCCCUUACGACAUUCUGGAAAGGGCAAAACCGCAGGGACACAAAUCAGGGGUGCUGAGGGUGGGCGGAGGUUACUGACAGCAAAGGGGCACGGAGGAGAUUUUGAGGAGAUGGCGUGCCCCGGGUCUCGAUGGCAGUCGUGGUAAUGUGGCUCCCGCAUUGCCGACAAGGGGGGGCUGCACACCUGAAAAGGAUGCCGUUUUUUUGAGGCGUAAUUGACGCGUCACCCUCUAUUAGUUGAAGGUGUACAAUAUGAUAAUUUGGUUAUAAACAGACAUGCUUUUAUUGUGAGAUGAGAGCGAAUUCAUCGUAUGUUCAUUUUAUCUCAAAUCCAUCUUUUUUAUU